UACGUAGGGUGCAAGCGUUGUCCGGAAUUAUUGGGCGUAAAGAGCUUGUAGGCGGUUUGUCGCGUCUGCUGUGAAAUUUCGGGGCUCAACCCCGAACUUGCAGUGGGUACGGGCAGACUAGAGUGUGGUAGGGGAGACUGGAAUUCCUGGUGUAGCGGUGAAAUGCGCAGAUAUCAGGAGGAACACCGAUGGCGAAGGCAGGUCUCUUGGCCACUACUGACGCUGAGAAGCGAAAGCAUGGGGAGCGAACAGG
rnacentral:rRNA from 1 species